GAUGAACGCUGGCGGCGUGCCUAAGACAUGCAAGUCGAACGGGUUUAGACCCGUGGCGAACGGGUGAGUAACGCGUGGGAACUUUCGUUAAGUUUAGAAUAACCUCCCGAAAGGGAGGACAAUACUAAAUGUGGAAGCAAUUCUAAAGGAGCAAUCCGCUUAACGUGAGGCCUGCGUGCCAUCAGCUAGUUGGUAGGGUAAUGGCCUACCAAGGCAAUGACGGCUAGGGGGCCCGAGAGGGUGAUCCCCCACACUGGGACUGCGACACGGCCCAGACUCCUACGGGAGGCAGCAGUUUGGAAUUUUGGACAAUGGACGAAAGUCUGAUCCAGCGACGCCGCGUGCACGAAGACGGUCUUCGGAUUGUAAAGUGCUUUUGCAGGGGACGAAUUUUUGACUGUACCCUGAGAAUAAGAGGUUGCUAACUCUGUG
rnacentral:rRNA from 1 species